GCAAUUUAAAAUUCUAUACCUCUAAAAAAAAAUUGCUUGGCGGCCUUAUCACAUUAAUUGAUUUCUUAUGUUUGUCGGUACUACUAAUUCGCACGACUUAGGCCAAACUUUCAUUCGUACUGUCAGGUGCAAUCCAACCUGCAAUAUAUCAAUAAAUUGUAAAUAACGGCAUGUGAGUUGAGUAACUUUACAGGUGUAGCAAUUCACAAUAAGAAAAAUGUUAAUCAUGACAAAACGAAUGCCACAUAAUUUUUUAUGGUAAAUAACAAUAAAAAACAUAUUGUGGAAGUCCUCAUUCGAAGUACAACAAAAAGCGUGCAUGAGCAUUUUAAGUGUGGUUGCAGAUUCUUUACCUAAAUUAAAUAAAAAUAAAACGUUUAACGUUACUGAAGUAAGGCUGCAAUUCGACCACGGCGAUAAUUCUAUUGAAAUUUUUUAAAUUAAUAUUGUUUAUCGUUAUUAUUUACAAGAAGGAACAAGAGGUUCAUGUAUAAAACGAUACGGACUUCCUGGUCCUUUCUAUAAAUUUCAAAAAUAAAAUAAGAUAACAUUUAUUUAUACAUUUUGCGUUUUGUAUUAUAUUCAUAACGGAUUCGGCAUACUAAACAUAAAUACAUAUACUCGUAUGUCAAUCCAAUAGGAAAAUAAUGAAAAUACUAUGUCAAAAAAAUGAGGAGGGUUGCCCAACAUUUUGCUUCGUUCUGCUUUACUACGCCUUGACGUGAACGUAGUCUGUAAUCUAUUUUUCAUAUCUUUCAGUUAAAACAAUUAAUAUUCAAAGUAAAAAUACCCCUAAAUAUUUAACAUCUCAAAAAAAUCCCAUUCGACUCUUUUAACCCCUAAGUUUAGGGGGGAAACCCCUAAGUUGGUAACACUGUACCCUGAAUCGAAGAACUGUAUCAACAAAAAACGAGGUCAUCUUCCAGCACAAUUCUGCGCCAUGUGAAAGGGCCAACAUCGCUCGCAAUUUGAUAGCUGUAAAAAGAAUAAAGCAGUUAGUGUAGCUUGAGAAUAGCCCCGAUUUGAACCCGAUCGAAAAGCUGUGGGUAAUUAUGAAGAAACAGGUAACCAUACAGAAGCCCAAGAUCCAAAAAGAACUGGAUUCCUUUCUUUUUAAGACGUGUUAGUGGAGUUUGGAUUACAACAAAAGCUUAUAUCGUCAAUGCAAGAAUCAGGGCGGGAUUAAGGCAAAAGGAGGCGCAACAAUGUCAUGAUUGAGAUAUUUCCCAAUAAAUACAAUAAAAUUAUGAAAUAAAAACAAACAA